CAGGCUUAACACAUGCAAGUCGAGGGGCAGCAUGGUCUUAGCUUGCUAAGGCCGAUGGCGACCGGCGCACGGGUGAGUAACACGUAUCCAACCUGCCGUCUACUCUUGGACAGCCUUCUGAAAGGAAGAUUAAUACAAGAUGGCAUCAUGAGUCCGCAUGUUCACAUGAUUAAAGGUAUUCCGGUAGACGAUGGGGAUGCGUUCCAUUAGAUAGUAGGCGGGGUAACGGCCCACCUAGUCUUCGAUGGAUAGGGGUUCUGAGAGGAAGGUCCCCCACAUUGGAACUGAGACACGGUCCAAACUCCUACGGGAGGCAGCAGUGAGGAAUAUUGGUCAAUGGGCGAGAGCCUGAACCAGCCAAGUAGCGUGAAGGAUGACUGCCCUAUGGGUUGUAAACUUCUUUUAUAAAGGAAUAAAGUCGGGUAUGCAUACCCGUUUGCAUGUACUUUAUGAAUAAGGAUCGGCUAACUCCGUGCCAGCAGCCGCGGUAAUACGGAGGAUCCGAGCGUUAUCCGGAUUUAUUGGGUUUAAAGGGAGCGUAGAUGGAUGUUUAAGUCAGUUGUGAAAGUUUGCGGCUCAACCGUAAAAUUGCAGUUGAUACUGGAUAUCUUGAGUGCAGUUGAGGCAGGCGGAAUUCGUGGUGUAGCGGUGAAAUGCUUAGAUAUCACGAAGAACUCCGAUUGCGAAGGCAGCCUGCUAAGCUGCAACUGACAUUGAGGCUCGAAAGUGUGGGUAUCAAACAGGAUUAGAUACCCUGGUAGUCCACACGGUAAACGAUGAAUACUCGCUGUUUGCGAUAUACAGCAAGCGGCCAAGCGAAAGCGUUAAGUAUUCCACCUGGGGAGUACGCCGGCAACGGUGAAACUCAAAGGAAUUGACGGGGGCCCGCACAAGCGGAGGAACAUGUGGUUUAAUUCGAUGAUACGCGAGGAACCUUACCCGGGCUUAAAUUGCAGAUGAAUUACGGUGAAAGCCGUAAGCCGCAAGGCAUCUGUGAAGGUGCUGCAUGGUUGUCGUCAGCUCGUGCCGUGAGGUGUCGGCUUAAGUGCCAUAACGAGCGCAACCCUUGUUGUCAGUUACUAACAGGUUCCGCUGAGGACUCUGACAAGACUGCCAUCGUAAGAUGUGAGGAAGGUGGGGAUGACGUCAAAUCAGCACGGCCCUUACGUCCGGGGCUACACACGUGUUACAAUGGGGGGGUACAGAGGGCCGCUACCACGCGAGUGGAUGCCAAUCCCAAAAACCUCUCUCAGUUUGGACUGGAGUCUGCAACCCGACUCCACGAAGCUGGAUUCGCUAGUAAUCGCGCAUCAGCCACGGCGCGGUGAAUACGUUCCCGGGCCUUGUACACACCGCCCGUCAAGCCAUGGGAGCCGGGGGUACCUGAAGUGCGUAACCGCGAGGAGCGCCCUAGGGUAAAACUGGUGACUGGGGCUAAG
rnacentral:rRNA from 1 species